rnacentral:rRNA from 1 species
CACGUAGGGUGCGAGCGUUGUCCGGAAUUAUUGGGCGUAAAGAGCUCGUAGGCGGUGUGUCGCGUCGGCCGUGAAAACCUGCAGCUUAACUGUGGGCUUGCGGUCGAUACGGGCAUCACUGGAGUUCGGCAGGGGAGACUGGAAUUCCUGGUGUAGCGGUGAAAUGCGCAGAUAUCAGGAGGAACACCUGCGGCGAAGGCGGGUUGCUGGGCUGACACUGACGCUGAAGCGCGAAAGCUAGGGGAGCGAACGGG